GGGAUGCCUCAGUAACGGCGAGUGAAGCGGCAACAGCUCAAAUUUGAAAUCUGGCGCCUUGGGCGUCCGAGUUGUAAUUUGUAGAGGGAGUCUCGGGUUAAGGGUCGGUCCAAGUGCCUUGGAACAGGAUACCGAAGAGGGUGAGAGUCCCGUAUCCGGCCGACGCCAGCGCCCGUGUGAGGCCCCUUCGACGAGUCGAGUUGUUUGGGAAUGCAGCUCUAAAUGGGUGGUAAAUUCCAUCUAAAGCUAAAUACUGGCCAGAGACCGAUAGCGCACAAGUAGAGUGAUCGAAAGAUGAAAAGCACUUUGAAAAGAGAGUCAAACAGUACGUGAAAUUGUUGAAAGGGAAGCGUAUGUGGGCAGACUUGGACGCUGGAUUCAGGCCGCCUUCUGGCGGGUGUAUUUUCCAGCGGACAGGCCAGCAUCGGUUCUGAGGGCCGGACAAAGACGAAGGGAAUGUGGCUCCUCUCUGGGGAGUGUUAUAGCCCGGCGUGCAAUGCGGCCACUUGGGACCGAGGACCGCGCAUUUUGCAAGGAUGCUGGCGUAAUGGCCUCAUACGGCCCGUCUUGAAACACGGACCAAGGAGUCUAACAUCUAUGCGAGUGUUUGGGUGUCAAGCCCGGGCGCGCAAUGAAAGUGAACGGAGGUGGGAGUCUGUGUUAGAGCGGAUGCACCAUCGACCGAUCCUGAAGUAUUCGGAAGGAUUUGAGUAAGAGCAUAGCUGUUGGGACCCGAAAGAUGGUGAACUAUGCGUGAAUAGGGUGAAGCCAGAGGAAACUCUGGUGGAGGCUCGCAGCGG
rnacentral:rRNA from 1 species